UACGUAGGGUGCGAGCGUUAAUCGGAUUUACUGGGCGUAAAGGGUGCGUAGGUGGUUUUAUAAGUCGGAUGUGAAAGCCCCGGGCUCAACCUGGGAACUGCACUCGAUACUGUAAGACUAGAGUUCGGUAGAGGGUGGCGGAAUUUCCGGUGUAGCGGUGAAAUGCGUAGAUAUCGGAAGGAACAUCAAUGGCGAAGGCAGCCGCCUGGGCCUGAACUGACACUGAUGCACGAAAGCGUGGGUAGCAAACAGG
rnacentral:rRNA from 1 species